CUCUCCACAAAGUUCUCUAUGAAAAUGAGAAUCUUGAUGAUGCUGCAUCGGCAAUCAACGACUAUUCUUUCCCUCUCUCUCUCUCUCCCUCUGUAUAGAUUAUUUGGAUUCCAUCCAGAUCUUCUUCAGGUUUUUGGCAGUCUUUAUCAAGACAUUAAUAGAUCCACAAGCUUCUAUUUCAAUAAGUGAACAAGAGUCACAACAUCAAGAUCAGUAAGGUAAGAGAGAUCUACUUAAGGUAACUAAUAUAUAUGCCUUAUUUCUUAUGUUGCCAAUCCCACCUUGCAUUUCCAAAACAACACAAUAUAGUUUUGUUUUGUUAGAAACAAAAAAGGAUAUUAUAUAUGGAAGUUGAGAUAAUAUAUAUAACAGGUCUAUAUGGAACUAUUGUUGUCUAGCAAAGAAAAGGUUUUCAAGACACACUGUCAGUUCUUUGUUUUGUUGGUUCAUGUUGGCUAUUACAUUCAAAUUGAGAAUCAAUCAAGAACUUGUUGGGUGGACCUUACACACAUUGUAGGCUAGGCAUAUUCAGUCCAACCUAUUUGUGUCACCUCCAUUUACAUAUUUAGAUUUCGUCCUUAUAACUGAUAUUGAAACAAUGAAGAA
rnacentral:precursor_RNA from 1 species